rnacentral:rRNA from 1 species
CCUACGGGGGGCUGCAGUGGGGAAUCUUGGACAAUGGGCGCAAGCCUGAUCCAGCCAUGCCGCGUGAGUGAAGAAGGCCUUAGGGUUGUAAAGCUCUUUUGCCAGGGACGAUAAUGACGGUACCUGGAGAAUAAGCCCCGGCAAACUUCGUGCCAGCAGCCGCGGUAAUACGAAGGGGGCUAGCGUUGUUCGGAAUUACUGGGCGUAAAGCGCACGUAGGCGGGUCGUUAAGUCAGGGGUGAAAUCCCGGAGCUCAACUCCGGAACUGCCCUUGAUACUGGCGAUCUAGAGGUCGGAAGAGGUUAGUGGAAUUCCCAGUGUAGAGGUGAAAUUCGUAGAUAUUGGGAAGAACACCAGUGGCGAAGGCGGCUAACUGGUCCGAUACUGACGCUGAGGUGCGAAAGCGUGGGGAGCAAACAGGAUUAGAUACCCCUGUAGUC